ACGUGGCUGACAGAAAAAACCUGAAAACGCAUAAUCCCACUCCUCUUCUUCCUCCCGAGCCUCCCAACACAUCGCUCUCCUUCACUCUCUUCACCUCCCCUCCCAUCCAAAAACCCAACUUGGGGGGGCAUUUUAUUUUUUUGCCUUCUUCUACAGCAAUCCCAAAGAUCAAUCAUGAGAUUGGAGAGUUUUUCCUCCAAAAUCUCAGCAACCAAACACAACCAAGAAGCUUACAGAUAAGGAGGCGAGGCGAUGAGGGCAUCUGUCAUCGAAAGCGACCCACGAUUCACCAUCGUACCAGAUAACAAGGUCUCGACCCAUAAGCUAAACUGGGGUUGGCAACCGAGGAUCCAAAUCUUCAAUCAAAUAAACUGGGUACCAAUGAUCCCUCAAAUUGAACUUGUUCGUCGAUGUCGCGUCUUCAAUUUCGUCCUCAGCUCCGUAAUCUUCCCCGUCCGGUUCCCUCUAUCCUUCUGGGUCAGUGGUUUGUGGCGGCGGCGAUGCACUCGCAACUACUCUCAGAUGAGAUAAGGAAGAGAAGGACAAGGUGACUACUGAACAAGUCGACGAACACCAUGGGAGUUGAAUAUCAAGAAAUUGUGUUGAGGUGGUGUAGGGUUGAGUAGCUGGGUUUCGAGUUGCAGCUCUAUUCUAGACUAGUAGAAGGGAGUCCAGACAUAUAUCUUUUGGGUGAGCUGCCAAAGUAUUUGUAUAGUUAGUCUUUGUUUGUAAAUGAUCUUUUUAUUGCGUUGUAGACUUGGAAGGUGUAGGCCACAAUGGGUUAGUGUCUCUACUUACUUGGGCAAUGAAAACCAUGUAUAUAUGGUCACUUGUCUUUUGGCUUGUAUAAAUUAUGCUCAUGUACAUUUUCAUCAAAUGACAUGAACAUGUUUUUCUUGUAAGAAGCCUUGAAGGUCUUUUGUGAACUUAUUAUAAUUUGUAAGGCUUAAUGAAUUGCCUUUGGAGAACCA